rnacentral:rRNA from 1 species
GACGAACGCUGGCGGCGUGCUUAACACAUGCAAGUCGAACGGAAAGGCCCCUUUGGGGGUACUCGAGUGGCGAACGGGUGAGUAACACGUGAGUAACCUGCCCUUGACUUCGGGAUAACUUCAGGAAACUGGGGCUAAUACCGGAUAGGAAUCCUUGCUGCAUGGUGGGGGUUGGAAAGCUUCGGCGGUUUUGGAUGGACUCGCGGCGUAUCAGCUUGUUGGUGGGGUAGUGGCUUACCAAGGCUUUGACGGGUAGCCGGCCUGAGAGGGCGACCGGCCACAUUGGGACUUAGAUACGGCCCAGACUCCUACGGGAGGCAGCAGGGGGGAAUAUUGCACAAUGGGCGGAAGCCUGAUGCAGCAACGCCGCGUGCGGGAUGACGGCCUUCGGGUUGUAAACCGCUUUCAGCAGGGGCGAAGCUUGUGGUGACGGUACCUGCAGAAGAAGCACCGGCUAACUACGUG